CUAUAUAAACACUGGCGGCCGAAAGAAAAAACAUAUUCUGAUCGAUUACAGACCGUCGGAUUUGUGCCGCUUAGGCUUUGAUCGGCACUCACCUGCAAGCACCGAGAACGCCAGGAUGAAGACAACCGUGCUCGUACUGGCCGUCCUACUUGUCUCAGCAGUCCUCCCGCAGUGAUGCUGACCGAGGGGUCGCCGGCUAGAAUCCCAGGAUCCGGGUCACGGGGGCGUCCGCGAGGCAAGAAAUGUGGGAACUACUACUGCGAAGCAAACGAGACCUGCGAGCCAUCGUUUGUGGGGCCUGCAUGUACCUCCAAACUUAAGUACAAGUAAAAGGCCCAGCGAAUGAACACCAACGAGAUCAAACUGCAUGGCAGCUCAAUAAAGUUGCUUACGCUCACCAA